rnacentral:rRNA from 3 species
GGACGAACGCUGGCGGCGUGCCUAAUACAUGCAAGUCGAGCGGACAGAUGGGAGCUUGCUCCCUGAUGUUAGCGGCGGACGGGUGAGUAACACGUGGGUAACCUGCCUGUAAGACUGGGAUAACUCCGGGAAACCGGGGCUAAUACCGGAUGCUUGUUUGAACCGCAUGGUUCAAACAUAAAAGGUGGCUUCGGCUACCACUUACAGAUGGACCCGCGGCGCAUUAGCUAGUUGGUGAGGUAAUGGCUCACCAAGGCAACGAUGCGUAGCCGACCUGAGAGGGUGAUCGGCCACACUGGGACUGAGACACGGCCCAGACUCCUACGGGAGGCAGCAGUAGGGAAUCUUCCGCAAUGGACGAAAGUCUGACGGAGCAACGCCGCGUGAGUGAUGAAGGUUUUCGGAUCGUAAAGCUCUGUUGUUAGGGAAGAACAAGUACCGUUCGAAUAGGGCGGUACCUUGACGGUACCUAACCAGAAAGCCACGGCUAACUACGUGCCAGCAGCCGCGGUAAUACGUAGGUGGCAAGCGUUGUCCGGAAUUAUUGGGCGUAAAGGGCUCGCAGGCGGUUUCUUAAGUCUGAUGUGAAAGCCCCCGGCUCAACCGGGGAGGGUCAUUGGAAACUGGGGAACUUGAGUGCAGAAGAGGAGAGUGGAAUUCCACGUGUAGCGGUGAAAUGCGUAGAGAUGUGGAGGAACACCAGUGGCGAAGGCGACUCUCUGGUCUGUAACUGACGCUGAGGAGCGAAAGCGUGGGGAGCGAACAGGAUUAGAUACCCUGGUAGUCCACGCCGUAAACGAUGAGUGCUAAGUGUUAGGGGGUUUCCGCCCCUUAGUGCUGCAGCUAACGCAUUAAGCACUCCGCCUGGGGAGUACGGUCGCAAGACUGAAACUCAAAGGAAUUGACGGGGGCCCGCACAAGCGGUGGAGCAUGUGGUUUAAUUCGAAGCAACGCGAAGAACCUUACCAGGUCUUGACAUCCUCUGACAAUCCUAGAGAUAGGACGUCCCCUUCGGGGGCAGAGUGACAGGUGGUGCAUGGUUGUCGUCAGCUCGUGUCGUGAGAUGUUGGGUUAAGUCCCGCAACGAGCGCAACCCUUGAUCUUAGUUGCCAGCAUUCAGUUGGGCACUCUAAGGUGACUGCCGGUGACAAACCGGAGGAAGGUGGGGAUGACGUCAAAUCAUCAUGCCCCUUAUGACCUGGGCUACACACGUGCUACAAUGGACAGAACAAAGGGCAGCGAAACCGCGAGGUUAAGCCAAUCCCACAAAUCUGUUCUCAGUUCGGAUCGCAGUCUGCAACUCGACUGCGUGAAGCUGGAAUCGCUAGUAAUCGCGGAUCAGCAUGCCGCGGGUGAAUACGUUCCCGGGCCUUGUACACACCGCCCGUCACACCACGAGAGUUUGUAACACCCGAAGUCGGUGAGGUAACCUUUUAGGAGCCAGCCGCCGAAGGUGGGACAGAUGAUUGGGGUGAAGUCGUAACAAGGUAGCCGUAUCGGAA